AGUGAACGCUGGCGGUAGGCCUAACACAUGCAAGUCGAACGGCAGCACAGUAAGAGCUUGCUCUUACGGGUGGCGAGUGGCGGACGGGUGAGGAAUACAUCGGAAUCUACUUUUUCGUGGGGGAUAACGUAGGGAAACUUACGCUAAUACCGCAUACGACCUACGGGUGAAAGCAGGGGAUCUUCGGACCUUGCGCGAUUGAAUGAGCCGAUGUCGGAUUAGCUAGUUGGCGGGGUAAAGGCCCACCAAGGCGACGAUCCGUAGCUGGUCUGAGAGGAUGAUCAGCCACACUGGAACUGAGACACGGUCCAGACUCCUACGGGAGGCAGCAGUGGGGAAUAUUGGACAAAGGGCGGAAGCCUGAUCAAGCCAUACCGCGUGGGUGAAGAAGGCCUUCGGGUUGUAAAGCCCUUUUGUUGGGAAAGAAAAGCAGCAGGUUAAUACCCCGCUGUUCUGACGGUACCCAAAGAAUAAGCACCGGCUAACUUCGUG
rnacentral:rRNA from 1 species